rnacentral:rRNA from 1 species
AUUGAACGCUAGCGGCAGGCCUAACACAUGCAAGUCGAACGAGUGGCGGACGGGUGAGUAAUGUCUGGGAACCUGCCUGAUGGAGGGGGAUAACUACUGGAAACGGUAGCUAAUACCGCAUACCAUCGGAGCGGCCGAGAGGGGAUUAGCUAGUAGGGGGGGUAACUGCUCACCUAGGCGACGACCCCUAGCUGGUCUGAGAGGAUGACCAGCCACACUGGAACGGAGACACGGUCCCGGCUCCUACGGUAGGCAGCAGUGGGGAAUAUGGCACAAUGGGGGCAAGCCUGAUGCAGCCAUGCCGCGUGUAUGAUGAAGGCCUUCGGGUUGUAAAGUACGUUCAGCGGAGAGGCGUUACCCGCAGAAUAAGCACCGGCUAACUCCGUGCCAGCAGCCGCGGUAAUUC